rnacentral:lncRNA from 1 species
UACAAAAAAAAUUGCAAGGCUACAAGGUAUGUUUUAUUUAUCUUUUUUUUAAAAAUAUGCACAAGUCUAGCAUUGUGUAUGUCAUAUAUAGAUAUGAGGAGGAAUACAAUGCUCAUUAAAAUAAUUAUUUAAGGUGGUACCCAACACCUUAACUAAAAUUAGUUUGGCUCGUUUAAUUUUCAUAAAAUUUUGAGAAAGUAUCAACUUUGACCCUUUGACAAAAAUAUAGAAAUUUCAAAAAAUUUGAAACAAACAUUUUAUCAGAAAAAUUACAAUGGUUAUAUAGCAGUUUGACAAACACUUAUUUUGAUCAUUGAGAAGCUUAAUAUUUCCUUACUAACACAACGUAAUUAAAACGUUUAGCUGAUUUUACAGAGUUAUUUCCCUGUAGUGUUAGGUACCACCUUAAGAUAGGAAGGUGAACAACAUCUGAAAUAGACAAAAUAGAAAAUAUAUAUGAAAAUAGUUUAUUUCAAAAUUAUCUUUUAGUAGGUUCUCAGGGUUAUUAACGCAUUUGAAUGGGGACAUAUGGUUGGAACCCCCCUUUUUAAAGAUGACUGGAUCUGCACUUUAUCAUGUACCACUAAUUGCAAUAAUGUUACUGAAGAGACUGAUGUAUAAUAUAGACCAAUGCCAAGUUGUUUUUAUUUUUGAAUGCGUUGCACUGGUUACCCUGAGGUCAAUCACGAAAAUGCACAUUGGGUCUUACUGUGAUGUAUAAACAUGAUUAUAGUGACAGGAAUGUAAGGGGAAGUGCAAGAAUUUCGUCUGUUUCUCUUUUAUUAUAACAACAAAAUAAGCAAAUAAUAGGUAUACAUCUUAUCGACUUUUAAAUUAAAAUUAUUCUAUUUUGUUUUGGAAAUUUAUUUAAGAAAGUUACCAUUAACCCAAACAGCAAAUAUUGCAAAAAAAGUUAUUUAGUAUUAACUUUCUUGUACUUUAAAAAGACACUGAUUGAUAGAAUGGAUGUAAUGACCAGUCUACAUUGCAUUAAUAAUACAGAUCUUUGUCGGAUACACCAAUCAUGAGUUUCAUUUUAUGAAUGGAUUACACCAGGUGACCGAGGUCAAUAUGCCUUAAUGGUAUCAUAAAACAAUCGGUUCUAACUGUGACGAAAAAAACACAAUAGAAUUUGGCAAUCACACUACAUCUCUUUAUUUUGACAUUUCACAAUCCUCACAAUUAGUUUUUUACAUGAAGUCAAUUUGAACUUGAUUUACUAUUUCAGUUUUUGUAUAUUGAUGUCUGUGCUUCAUUGUAGUGCUGUCAAUAAUUUUUUAUUUAUUCAGAUGUAUGUUCCUUAGAUUUAA